rnacentral:rRNA from 1 species
UACGUAGGUGGCAAGCGUUGUCCGGAUUUACUGGGCGUAAAGGGAGCGUAGGCGGACUUUUAAGUGAGAUGUGAAAUACUCGGGCUCAACUUGAGUGCUGCAUUUCAAACUGGGAGUCUAGAGUGCAGGAGAGGAGAAUGGAAUUCCUAGUGUAGCGGUGAAAUGCGUAGAGAUUAGGAAGAACACCAGUGGCGAAGGCGAUUCUCUGGACUGUAACUGACGCUGAGGCUCGAAAGCGUGGGGAGCAAACAGG